rnacentral:lncRNA from 1 species
AUGUAAUGCAACUAAUCUAUAUGCCUACGAAUCCAGCGGUAAUGACAUAAACAAGUCUAUUCAACCGGCCUUAGAGAAAUCAAGUAAACAUGAUAAUACAUCAUAUUAAAACAAAUCAGUAAUUUUCCAAUCAAUCAUCAAAUCUUAGACUGUUAUCACUGAUAUAGUGCGUGUGUGCUCCACAAAAAUGCUAACUGAUAUAAAAUCAAAUUUAACACAUAAUAGAUAUCUUCGAAGGCAUC